GCGGAUGUAGCCAAGUGGAUCAAGGCAGUGGAUUGUGAUCCCCCCG
rnacentral:tRNA from 1 species